rnacentral:rRNA from 1 species
AUUGAACGCUGGCGGCAUGCCUUACACAUGCAAGUCGAACGGUAACAGGUCUUCGGAUGCUGACGAGUGGCGAACGGGUGAGUAAUACAUCGGAACGUGCCUAGUAGUGGGGGAUAACUACUCGAAAGAGUGGCUAAUACCGCAUGAGAUCUACGGAUGAAAGCAGGGGAUCGCAAGACCUUGUGCUACUAGAGCGGCCGAUGGCAGAUUAGGUAGUUGGUGGGAUACAAGCUUACCAAGCCGACGAUCUGUAGCUGGUCUGAGAGGACGAUCAGCCACACGGGGACGGAGAAGCGGCCCAGACUCCGACGGGAGGCAGCAGUGGGGAAUUUUGGACAAUGGGCGCAAGCCUGAUCCAGCAAUGCCGCGUGCAGGAUGAAGGCCUUCGGGUUGUAAACUGCUUUUGUACGGAACGAAAAGCCCCGGGUUAAUACCCUGGGGUCAUGACGGUACCGUAAGAAUAAGCACCGGCUAACUACGUGCCAGCCGCCGCAGUAA